AUUGAACGCUGGCGAUAUGCUUAAAACAUGCAAGUCGAACGGCAGCACGGUCUGUAGUAAUACAGAUGGGUGGCGAGUGGCGGACGGGGGAGUAAUACGCAGGAAUCUGCCGUAUAGAGGGGGAUAACUCGAGGAAACUCGAGCUAAUACAGCGUAGUUACUACGGAAUAAAACAGGGCCAACCUGGCGCGAUGGGAAGAGCCUGCGUCUGAUUGGCUAGUUGGUGGGGGAAUGGCCUACCAAGGCGACGAUCAGUAGGUGGUCUGAGGGGAUGAUCACCCAGACUGGGACUGAGACACGGCCCAGACUCCGACGGGAGGCAGCAGUGGGGAAUAUUGGACAAUGGGGGCAACCCUGAUCCAGCAAUACCGCGUGUGUGAAGAAGGCCUUAGGGUUGUAAAGCACUUUAGUCGGGGAAGAAGGUAUGUAUUUUAAGAGAUAACAUAUUUGACGGUACCCGCAGAAUAAGCACCGGCUAAAUCUGUGCCAGCCGCCGCAGUAA
rnacentral:rRNA from 1 species